rnacentral:lncRNA from 1 species
GCCAUAUUGUGACACCACGUGUCAGGAGUCACUUUCGAUAAAUAUUACAGAGCCACACUGUCUUGCAUACUGAAACUAGCAAAGUCGUGUUAGCCAAGACUUUCAACCACAGUUCAGUGUGACAGAGAGAAGUGUUAAACUGUCUAUUAUAAAGAACUUUCUAUGGACUCUGGAAUCAUGAAGUCAGUCUCAUGACACAGUCCGGUGUCAGCGGGCUGGGUGAGGCAUCUUGCCCCACUAGGAUUUAAAAGUUUCAGAGCCUUUACCUCGUCUGCCUGCAUUCCCCGCCCAAUGAGAGAAAAGUGGACAAUGAACAACCCACUUCAGACCCCAAGCAAAGUACUUGCUAAACACCUGGACUAUUGGUAGCCGCUGUCAUUGCCCUGACUCCAGAUGCUCCUGGAAGCCCCCUGUAUCCCUGGCGUGAAAUAGUGAACAUGUCUUGCCCCCAAUCCCAGUCCAGCCAUAAAGAAGCGCAGCUUUCCUCAAAGGACAAUGGAUUGUGGCAGGCUUUCCCUGACUCAAACCGGAAUUAUCCUGCCAUCUAGUGGCCAGUGGCCCUAAUCGUGCCUGUCUAGUAUUCUCCUCCUCCUCUGGAAUGCCAGGCAAGGACCUCUGGUUCAACCCAGAGAUUCAAUGCAAGCUCACCGCCUAGGGGAGAGAUUUCCUGAAACACUCGGACCGCCUCCUUUCUCUCCAGUGGGACCGCCUCCAGCCCAGCUCUUCCAACGAAGCCUUCAGCUUCCCCCUUCCUUCCCUUGGAAGCUCCUCUCUGCGCCCCGCCCCUACGUAGACCAGCGGCCACGUGUGUUUGACAGAUGCCAGCAUAAGACAAUAGAAAUGGGAGCGUGCGGGCACAUGGCUGAUUAAAAGCAAUCCAGGAGCUCAGAAACAGCUCGCUAUUGCUGGCAUAUACACUCUACAGUCUCGAUAUCCACAGGCCUCCCUACACCCGCACUGCUCUUUAG